AGCCAAGGCAGCGUCCACAGCUUUAUUUGCUGUUAAAUGAAACAGAGCUCAUUUAGCCUCCCAGCCUCGGAAUGCACGCGCAAUUACCGUGAGCCUGCUGCUCGGGCCGACUUGGCGACCACGUCCUGCAGGGCUCCCGCUCCCCAAAUUUAACCUUCGAUUCGGCUGUCGGCUUUCGGGCCUAGGAAGAGCAGAGGGGAGACACCUGAGAUGGCUCCGGCUUGAGCUCUGCAGGCUGCUUUUCGCUCCACGAGAAGAGGGAAGAGAAAGAUGAGGAAAGGGAAAAGAGGAAAAACAGAAGGAGAGGGACGAGGAGAAAAACGACAAAAAGAGAAGAAAAGAGGAGGAGGAAGAAGAUGAGAGAACGAAGAAGACGGAGAUAUCUCCGUUUGCACUCCCAUUGGAACAUCAAAACAAAGACGCGGACGGGGAACAAACAAGGUUCCCCCACCCGUCCAUCCGGGUGGGUCGCUACAGAACCAACUCUCCCUAGCUCCUUCCUUCUCCGCCGGCGGUCAGAACCGGGUCCAGGGAAGCGGAGGCCACCGCUGGGCCCAGAGGACACGACUUUCUCCGGCUAUCGAAGUGGGGGAGGGCGAGCCAGAGCUGGGCGACGCAGAGCUCGGCCUGUUCUGCUCCGGGUGGGAGCUCUGCGUUGCGGUCAGCCGCGGGUUUUCCUACAUGAACGCGGAACCCCGCGUUAACCGGAGAGAGCAGCGACGCGAGCCCCUUGGCGACUCCAGCCCUGCCCUGGCCUGGCAGCAUCCUAUCUCUGCCAAGCACCUCUGUAGCUCCGCAUUAAAGAUCGAUCGGAACUAUGGUUUCCUCGCUGAAUUCGGAGGACCGGAGAUGGGGAGUUGGAUUGGGGGAAAGGGGAAUUCUUUAAUAACAACAACAACGAUGAUGAUGAGGAUAGUACAACAGUAAUGUCAUUUGCUAAGCGCUAUGUGCAAAACUCUAUACUGAACAUGGGUAUUCUUGGUUCCCGGUUCCUAAUAUAGUUUCUCUUUCCUCUGCUCCGCUCAGUACACAUUUCAGC
rnacentral:lncRNA from 1 species